GCAGACUCACUCUGCAUCCGGCUGCAGCCCCAAGACGGAUGCUUUUUCUGUCUGCCAGAGAAAUAGACCAGGUGCUGCAACUGCCUGACCGACUGUCAAAGGCAAUGUAGCUGCCUGGGGACACAGGU